rnacentral:rRNA from 1 species
UACCAGCUCUCUGAGUGGUAGGGGUGAUUAUUGGGCUUAGAGCGUCCGUAGCCGGCCUGGCAAGUCCUUCGUUAAAUCCAGCAACUUAAUUGUUGGGCUGCGGGAGAUACUGUUAGGCUAGGGGGCGGGAGAGGCCGACGGUAUUCUCGGGGUAGGGGUGAAAUCUUAUAAUCCCGGGAGGACCACCAGUGGCGAAGGCUGUCGGCUAGCACGCGCCUGACGGUGAGGGACGAAAGCUGGGGGGAGCGAACCGGAUUAGGUACCCGGGUAGUCCCUGCUGUAAACGAUGCGGGCUAGGUGUUGGGGCGGCUACGAGCCGCUUCAGUGCCGCAGCGAAGGCGUUAAGCCCGCCGCCUGGGGAGUACGGCCGCAAGGCUGAAACUUAAAGGAAUUGGCGGGGAGCACCACAAGGCGUGAAGCUUGCGGUUC